GACGUGUUGUCUUUCUUAACACCGUAAUGAACCUUCGUGUGAAGUGGAAAAUCGAUUCCUGAGCAAUCGACGCCAACUAAUUCAGCACCUUCACUUGGGACAGCGCCUUUGUAACGUCGAACGUAAGAGGCAGCGUGUAAAGAAGCUUCCUAAGGGACACUUCGGGGAACACACUUAGGAACAUAAACAACUUUGGUAAGAUAUAUCUUUCGAGUCUUCUUAGUGCGCUAAGAGUGAACGUUAUCGGGGAACCGGGCCCAGAUGAUUACGUUCCAGAUACCACUUCCGAAAGUGACAGUGAUGUUAGCCUUACACUAAACCAGACAAAACGUCAGCUUCUUGAUGAACUGGAUGUUGAUCAGUCUGGCUCAGUGAGUUGCCCUGACUGUGACACCACAAUGUCAUACAAAAUGCACAGACUUAUAUCUGAAGCAUCUGGAACAGGAGAAGAACCCAGUUCAAGUCAGAACACAACCGAUGGCGUAGUUGUUAGUGUAUACCAAAAAAGAGAUGGUGCUAGAGUGUACAACAAGAGACAUUACUGCUUGUACUGCAGUAAAGCAUAUGCUAAGAUGGCAAGGCAUCUAGAAAGUUCACAUGUAAAUAAGUCUGAUGUGGCUAGAGCUCUAAGCUUUCCAAAGAGUUCAAAGGAGAGAAAAAAACAGCUUGAUUAUAUUCGCAACAGAGGAAACUAUGCUCACAAUGCAGCUGUUAUGGAGUCAGGAAAGGGGGAACUAGUGCCAUUUAAACGACCACGUAAAAAAGUGCAGGGAGAAGAUUUCAGGCAUUGUGCAUACUGUCAAGGACUUUUUACAAGAAAGGUCCUGUGGAGACACAUGCAUACUUGUAGACUUCAACCACAAUCUGACCCUCCCAAACCAUGAAAAAACUGUGUUCAGUCCAUGUGUACCUACACUGGGCCUGUGCCUUCAAACAUGACUAGACAACUGUGGGGAGUAAUCACUGCCAUGAAUCCUGACCCAAUCACAGAUAUAAUAAAAAAUUUAAUUACUAAAAUCGGGCAGCACUUGUUAAACAAAGGUGGGCUAUCAGAUAAGAAUAAACAAUGUGUGCGGGAGAAGAUGCAAGAAUUGGGAAGAUUGAUUCACAAUGCCAGGAAAGUCACCUCCUUAAAAAAAACUGGAAGAUUGUGUAAAUCCAAAGAAGUACAAGGAGACUGUCAAAGCUGUCAAGUAUACAUGUGGGUAUGACAGUGAAACCCACAAAUUCUUGAUUUCAUCACUUGCAAACAAGCUUGGAAAUUCCCUGGUUAAAGCAAGCAAACUCUUGAAAGCACAGGGCUUAAUCUCUAACGACAAACAGCUUGUGAAGAAUGCCACUGAGUUUCAAGAAGUCCAUGCAAAUAAGUCAAGUCAAGUCAAGUCAUCUUUAUUUAUAUAGCGCUUUAAACAAAAAAGAUUGCGUCAAAGCAACUGAACAACAUUAAUUAGGAAAACAGUGUGUCAAUAAUACAAAAUGACAGUUAAAGGCAGUUCAUCAUUGAAUUCAGUGAUGUCAUCAUGCAGCUCAGUUCAGUUUAAAUGGUAUCUGUGCAAUAAUUUGCAAUCAAGUCAAUGAUAUCGCUGUAAAUGAAGUGUCCCAAACUAAGCAAGCCAGAGGCGACAGCGGCAAGGAACCAAAACUCCAUCAGUGAGAGAAUGGAGAAAAAACCUUGGGAGUGGAACGAGAUGAUCUCUGCUACAGCGCUGAGGAAUAUCAGGGAAGCAAAGUGGAAUGUGCCCACUCUCAUGCCCUUUACUGAAGACGUACAAAAACUGCAUACUUUUCUCAGUCAAGUGCAAGACGAGUGGUUCAACCUGCUCUCUGAAAGUCCGUCUACUAAAGCCUGGAUGGAGCUGGCCAAGAGACACUUCUGAUCCAUAUGAAGAUGUGGACCUGGCUCUCUCCGAAGUGGAGAAGAAACUCUGCAGACGCUUCAUAAGGGUUAUCACCAGGGGAAAGCGUGGUCGGCCAGUUCCAGUUCUUCUGACUCCAAAAAUGCUGUGUUCCUUAGAACUCCUUGUUAAGCAGAGAGAGAAUUGUGGGGUUUUAAAAGACAAUGCCUAUAUGUUUGCUAGACCAGAAGCCAUGACACAUUUCCGAGGGUCAGACUGCCUCCGUGGCUUUGCAGAGGCAUGUGGUGCAAAAAGGUCCCAAGGCACUGACAUCUACCAGGCUGCGAAAGCAUUUCAACAGUGCUGAACAUGACAGACACCGAGAUGGACCAGCUGGCAAACUUUCUUGGGCACAACAUAAGAAUCCAUCAUGAGUUCUAUCGACUCCCUGAGAAGACCCUGCAACUUGCCAAGAUCAGCAAAGUUUUAAUGGCUCUUGAGCAAGGAAGAUUAGCUGAGAUCCAUGGCAAGAACUUGGAUGAAAUUGGGAUAGAUCCUGAUGAAAAAAAAUAUUGACUGUGAUGAGAAAGAACAAGUUAUUGACUGUGAUGAGGAAGAACAAGUUAUUGACUGUGAUGAGGAAGAACAAGUUAUUGACUGUGAUGAGGAAGAUGGGAGCAUACAAGAGGGACACUGUUUAUCUACUGUUGACGCCGAGGUGGCACUUCCUUCUACCGAGAGGAAUAUGUCACCACCUCACAAAAGAGGCAAACAUCAUCAGAUGUGCAGAUGCCUUCAGGAGCCAGUGCUAUGAGACCGCCUCGCAAAGGUAAAACUACCCAGAAGAAAACUCCCUGGCAGCAGGCAGAGGUGCAGGUGGUGGAAAGGCACCUGGAGCCAUUCAUCGUAUCUGGCACUGUACCAACAAAGAGUGACUGUGAGAAAUGCUUGAAAGCUGAACCAGAAGCUCUGAGGAACCGCGAUUAGAAGACUGUAAAAUUUUACGUUUAUAAUCGCAUUACAGCUUACAAAAAGAAAUUGCAGUGCAGAUAAUACUGUGAAGAUGCAACCAUCUGGCAUGGCAGGUUUUGUUUAAAUAAGUUGAGCCACAGCAACACUUAAAGAAAUAGAAUAUCUUUAUUGUUAAACCAGUGCAUAAAGGCCACAAGCUGAAAAGCAUUGGUCUAACAAAAGUUGUUCUAAAGUUUUUGUUGAAAUCCAUGUCUGUGAAAGGAGGC
ensembl:lncRNA